AACGAACGCUGGCGGCAUGCCUAACACAUGCAAGUCGAACGAGACCUUCGGGUCUAGUGGCGCACGGGUGCGUAACGCGUGGGAACCUGCCCUUAGGUUCGGAAUAACUCCCCGAAAGGGGUGCUAAUACCGGAUAAUGUCUUCGAACCAAAGAUUUAUCGCCUUUGGAUGGGCCCGCGUUGGAUUAGCUAGUUGGUAGGGUAAAAGCCUCCCACGGCGACGAUCCAUAGCUGGUCUGAGAGGAUGAUCAGCCACACUGGGACUGAGACACGGCCCAGACUCCUACGGGAGGCAGCAGUGGGGAAUAUUGGAAAAUGGGCGAAAGCCUGAUCCAGCAAUGCCGCGUGAGUGAUGAAGGCCUUAGGGUUGUAAAGCUCUUUUACCCGGGAUGAUAAUGACAGUACCGGGAGAAUAAGCUCCGGCUAACUCCGUG
rnacentral:rRNA from 1 species